GUGCGAAAUGUGCAAAUCCCAGAACAACAGCAAAGGACCUUGUGAAGAUGCUGGAGGAAACGGGUACAAAAGUAUCUAUAUCCACAGUAAAACGAGUCCUAUAUAGACAUAACCUGAAAGGCUGCUCAGCAAGGAAGAUCCACUGCUCCAAAACCGGCAUAAAAAAGACAGACUACAGUUUGCAACUGUCUGUUCCGAAGUUAUCUAUAAAACUGAAGCUUUUUAUCAUUUCACUGAGUAGCCGUGUAUUCUACAGUCAAGUCACUGACAUCAAGUGGACAAAUUAAUGAAUACUUAUUGCAAUUUUGCAAUAAUUACUACCGUUAAGUGUUGUGCAAAUUUGAAGCUGUAUUGUGUAAUAUAACAUAUUUGUGUUGUCAGAGGUUGACUUACACAGUGAAAACUAAACAUUUAUUUUGUUUUUACCUUAAGACCAGUUGCUUUUACUAAGUUACAUCCAAACACGCCAAUGUGUGUCAUCCUAACCCAUGACAGAUUUAAUGAAAACCACUUAUGUUCGUCUUUAAUAUCGCUUUCCUGUUUUUCUCUAAGUAACGUUUUUAGUAAAUAAUACUCAGUAUUAUCAGACAACCUUAAUCAAUACCGGAAGUACAAUUUUCCCAAGAUUGGUCCAUAGUUUCCCGCAAUUAUCCACAUUUCAGGCUUCUCGCUAGAGAGUAACGGUUAAUGUUGUGAUUGGAUGAUAAUUAUUUGACUAGGCUACCUGUAUUUCGCUGAACACUAGAUGGUUACAUUUUGGGGGGGACAGUGAUACAAGGCUACUCAGGGGAGAAAAAAACCUCACCCAAAUGUAUAGCCUCGUUGGAAAAUAUAUGAAUGCACAUUCUUUGGGGCGUACCCCUGACGUUGCCCCUGGGAAUACCUGCCAUAGAGGAUCACAUGGCAAAAUGUUCUAAUAAAUGAGCAAACGAGACAAGAUGAUCACAGGAAGCUCUCACACCUCAACUUAGCUUUUCCCAGCCUAAUUGUAGUCUAACCAAUAGGCUAUCCAAACGGAGAUUCAGUGCAAACAAAAGUCUGACAUAAUUAUUGAUAUAUCAAGUCGAGUUUCUAGACUUGUCUCCAAGCAGAGCAAUUGCGCUGUCCCAAUCAAAAUGGUGCUGAAAUUGUCAUCUAGACCACACCCGGGUAGGCUAUUUCUUCAAAUGUAUUAAAAUGAUUGGAGGAUUUUGGGAGUAAGCAACAAUGUGAUAGGCCAACAUGCCUUCAAUUGCAUUAGCCUACUUUAUUUCAACAUUUACGUAAUUCAGUGAUAUUUAUUACCACAGUAAUUCUUUAUGGAUUCAUCCGGUUGUGGUUAAUAAGAAAACGGUAUGCUUAGUGGUGGGCUAUGUUAAGAGAUGGGCAAAGUGACAUGCCUUGCAAAGUUUACAACUGGCAGGAGGAUGGUUAACGAACGCUGCCUAGCAACCAUCAAGAGUUUAAAAGCAUAGUGGUGUGAAUGCCGCCUCAGCAUUACGGCUGUGUGUCAUACUAAUACGUAAAUACGUAUACCUAUAGGCAAAACAUUACCACAAUCAUGAUUAGGUCGGUUGGGGGAAAUAAAAGUACAGGCUUUGACACUGGCAAUAUAUUUAAUAUAAACUCAGCAAAAAAAGAAACAUCCCUUUUUCAGGACCCUGUCUUUCAAAGAUAAUUCGUAAACAUCCAAAUUACUUCACAGAUCUUAAUUGUAAAGGGUUUAAACACUGUUUCCCAUGUUUGUUCAAUGAACCAUAAACAAUUAAUGAACAUGCACCUGUGGAACAGUCGUUAAGACACUAACAGCUUACAGACGGUUGGCAAUUAAGGUCACAGUUAUGAAAACUUAGGACACUAAAGAGGCCUUUCUACUGACUCUGAAAAACACCAAAAGAAAGAUGCCCAGGGCCCCUGCUCAUCUUCGUGAACGUGCCUUAGGAAUGCUGCAAGGAGGCAUGAGGACUGCAGAUGUGGCCAGGGCAAUAAAUUGCAAUGUUCGUACUGUGAGACGCCUAAGACAGCGCUACAGGGAGACUGGACGGACAGCUGAUUGUCCUCACAGUGCAGACCACGUGUAACAACACCUGCACAGGAUCGGUACAUCCGAACAUCACACCUCCCAGAGUCAAUGACAUAUACCAGCACUCCAGCAGAUGGCACCAGUAGUCCGCUUUGGAUUAGAGGAGGUUGGGCGACGAUGACUUUUGCCAGUUAACAGACCAUGGAGAUACAACUAAAAAUCUCUGUGACAGACCACUUAAAUUGGUGUCUCUUUCAUGGCUAUUCAUAGAAGACGUACUCUUAUUAUUUGUACAUUUACUGACUGCAGUAAUGCUACAGGGAUUAUAUAAAUAAGGGAUUGAGUCUAGGCCUUUCAGCUGAAGGUCUCCUUUCCUGUUGAUGAAUGUUCCACAUUGGGAGGCAGGUCUUGUUGGGAGGGGAUGAGUGUGUCAUUCAGUUCUCAUUAGCAGACCAGAAAGAUAGAUCAUACCACAGUAUACUGCAGCUGCAUCCAGUACAAGGCAUAUGGGCAGACAUGACAAAUACCUUCAGAAACGUAUGUACUGAUAAGAAAGGCAAUACUCCUGCCAGCUGAGUACUGAAGUAGCCAAAUGCUUCUGCUGUAGAGUGAGAGAGGAACUGUGUCUGCUUUAAUCACUUGACGUUAAUCACUGCUCCAUAGAUCUGCUGUGUAAUGGGAGGGGAAGUGAACCCUGAAUCAGGAAAAACAAACUUCAGCUUAGAUAUUUCUUGUGGCACAGAGCACCUUUUCCUUUAAGAACUGGGUCUAUCUUGGCCUCCCAACUACUAUCUGUUGUGUUCUACUGCUGGCUUCACCAUUCUACUAGCCUGCCCCUCCAUCACCAUUCUACUAGCCUGCCCCUCCUUCACCAUUCUACUAGCCUG
rnacentral:lncRNA from 1 species